UACGUAGGGUGCAAGCGUUAUCCGGAAUUAUUGGGCGUAAAGAGCUCGUAGGCGGUUUGUCGCGUCGUUCGUGAAAACUCACAGCUUAACUGUGAGCUUGCGGUCGAUACGGGCAGGCUAGAGUUCGGUAGGGGAGACUGGAAUUCCUGGUGUAGCGGUGAAAUGCGCAGAUAUCAGGAGGAACACCGGUGGCGAAGGCGGGUCUCUGGGCAGUAACUGACGCUGAGGAGCGAAAGCGUGGGGAGCGAACAGG
rnacentral:rRNA from 1 species